GACGAACGCUGGCGGCGUGCCUAACACAUGCAAGUCGAGCGAGGGGAGUUUCUUCGGAAACAAACCUAGCGGCGGACGGGUGAGUAACACGUGGGCAACCUGCCUUAUAGAGGGGAAUAGCCUUCCGAAAGGAAGAUUAAUACCGCAUAACAUUGAAGCUUCGCAUGAAGCCAUAAUUAAAGGAGCAAUCCGCUAUAAGAUGGGCCCGCGGCGCAUUAGCUAGUUGGUGAGGUAACGGCUCACCAAGGCGACGAUGCGUAGCCGACCUGAGAGGGUGAUCGGCCACAUUGGGACUGAGACACGGCCCAGACUCCUACGGGAGGCAGCAGUGGGGAAUAUUGCACAAUGGGGGAAACCCUGAUGCAGCAACGCCGCGUGAGUGAUGAGGGUUUUCGGAUCGUAAAACUCUGUCUUCGGGGACGAUAAUGACGGUACCCGAGGAGGAAGCCACGGCUAACUACGUGCCAGCCGCCGCAGUAA
rnacentral:rRNA from 1 species